AUCGCUUCUCGGCCUAUCGGCUAAGAUCAAAUGUGUAGUAUCUGUUCUUGGACAGACACUACUAUCAGGUAUAGCAGAUUUGGCUUUGAGAAUGUGUGCCCAGGCCGACCUCCA